UUUAGGGGGGUGUAUUCGUUGUGGAGUUUAAUAGAUUUCUAUGGAUUUUAAAAGUCUGGGUGUAUUCGUUCCAGACUUUUAAAAGUCUGCAGAAAUCUGGGUGUAUUCGUUCAAGACUUUUAAAAGUCCAUAUAAAUCUGGGUGUAUUCGUUUCAGACUUUUUAAAAUCCAUACAAAUCUAGGUGUAUUCGUUAUUCCAUUGACUUCAAAUCCGGAAUGACUUUCAUGGAUUUCAUCCAAAAAAUACACACGACGAAAUCCGGCCAAGAACCACGAGAAUUGAAAUCCAUGGAGUUUUGAGCGAGCGCGGAGUUCCAGCGCCCGCGGCCAAGAAGCCAGCGAGCGCUGGAACUCAGCAUCCGUUGAGAAAGUCCAGCGCUCGCUGGGUUUGAGCGGUCGCUGGAAACACAUAGAAAAGUUAGUAAUCUGCACAAAGAAAUUUUCUCAAACAUUAAUCUCAAGAUUCUCAACAAAAGCAUAUUUGCAAGAAAAGCCAACCUUCAGAAGCUGCUUACGUUAAGCCAAAGAUAAAGAUCAAAAUCUGGACUUGCUGCUUCUCGCAGCCAUAAUUUUGUGUCUUCAAGCAAGAAAAAGACACACACUGGCACACACACAGUGUGUUUUUGGCAACAAAUUUCAACGCCAUUAAAAUAUUAAUAUAAAGAAAUUCACAACUACUACAUCUUUCGCCAUCAUCUUCCUAGAAACACAAGAGAGAGAUGGAGAAAACGAGAAGAAUACAAACUUGAAGCAGAGAUGGGUUGCUGCGAAACGCCCAAGAUUUGGAGCUGCCACGUGGGAUGGUGGUGCGCACCCUCCUCUUGUUCACCACCACCAUCUUCCUAGACCUCAGCGGCGGCGCCUCUUGCAUAGACGGGGCAUCGAUUCCAACAGAGAUUAUCAGUUCCAUAAUUUGCAAAGAAUGAAUCUCUGUUUAAUUCAGCUUUCUGGUUUCUUAGCUCUACCAAUUGAGUAUCUGAUUUGAAGGGAAAGGCGACGAGCAGGAAGAGCUGGAGUCGGUGCAGGAUACCCAGCCAUUGAAGUCUGGUGGGGGAAACAGUUUUAUCAGAUCGGACAAAGCGAAUAUUGAUCUGACGAAGAAGAUGAGGGUUUCUCCGAUUUUGUUCAAGAAAUGGUGUCUCUCGUGAAUGGGUACACUUGCUCUGUUUAAUGAUGUAUUGGGCUUAGUUGGUGAAUUCGCGUGAGAGCUGAGUUAUGAUGAGAUUGAUAUUGAAAAUAGGGAAAAACAUACAGCAUGGAAGAACUGUUUUGGGAGAUGGCACAAGCUUAUGAGAUUCCUAAAUGGACAUGUGAAGAAAACAAGUUCAAAUA